rnacentral:lncRNA from 1 species
AGUCUCUAAUUUUUGCCUGGAUUACCCUUGCGGGUUCUCCACCGAGACGCUCAUUUUUGCCUAAGCCGCCCUUUCGGGUUUUCAACUUAGCAAGCUAUUCUGUUUUUUAUUAUUAUUUUUUUUUUGCAUAUACUUUUUUUUCUAGGCAAAGUAUCUCUUAACUGCAUCUGAAUUCACAGGACGAGUGAAAUCCUCCCCAUCCAUUGUUGUAAGCAUCAAAGCUCCGCCUGAAAAGGCUCUCUUAACAACAUAUGGACCCUCGUAGUUUGGAGUCCACUUGCCCCUGGAAUCGGGCGCGAAAGACAAAACUUUCUUGAGCACGAGGUCACCUUCUCGGAACAC